rnacentral:rRNA from 1 species
UGAGGAACAUGACCUUCGGCGGGGGAUAGCCGGCCCAACGGCCGGGUAUACCGCGUACGACCACAUGGGGACAUCCCUGAGUGGUGAAAGCAGCAAUGCGCCGAUGGAGUGCCUCGCGGCCUAUCAGCUAGUUGGUGGGGUAACGGCUCACCAAGGCGACGACGGGUAGCUGGUCUGAGAGGAUGGCCAGCCACAUUGGGACUGAGACACGGCCCAGACUCCGUAGGGAGG